AGGCGUGUGGCUCAGUUGGUAGAGCAUUCGCUUAGCAUCUCAUCAUCUUCUGAAGGCGAUUCCCGUGAUGCGGAAGGUCCUGGGUUCGAUUCCCAGCCCCUCCA